UGUGGUUUAAUUCGAAGCAACGCGAAGAACCUUACCAAAUCUUGACAUCCUUUGACCGCUCUAGAGAUAGAGUCUUCCCCUUCGGGGGACAAAGUGACAGGUGGUGCAUGGUUGUCGUCAGCUCGUGUCGUGAGAUGUUGGGUUAAGUCCCGCAACGAGCGCAACCCUUAAGCUUAGUUGCCAUCAUUAAGUUGGGCACUCUAAGUUGACUGCCGGUGACAAACCGGAGGAAGGUGGGGAUGACGUCAAAUCAUCAUGCCCCUUAUGAUUUGGGCUACACACGUGCUACAAUGGACAAUACAAAGGGCAGCUAAACCGCGAGGUCAAGCAAAUCCCAUAAAGUUGUUCUCAGUUCGGAUUGUAGUCUGCAACUCGACUACAUGAAGCUGGAAUCGCUAGUAAUCGUAGAUCAGCAUGCUACGGUGAAUACGUUCCCGGGUCUUGUACACACCGCCCGUCACACCACGAGAGUUUGUAACACCCGAAGCCGGUGGAGUAACCAUUUAUGGAGCUAGCCGUCGAAGGUGGGACAAAUGAUUGGGGUGAAGUCGUAACAAGGUAGCCGUAUCGGAAGGUGCGGCUGGAUCACCUCCUUUCUAAGGA
rnacentral:rRNA from 1 species